rfam:Brassica oleracea var. oleracea cultivar TO1000 chromosome C9, whole genome shotgun sequence
GGAAGUUAAGAAACUGUUUUUUAACUUUUAACUAAAAAAACUAAGAACCGGUUCUUAAAUAAAGACUUUAAGAACCGAUUCUUAUUUUUUUAAGUUAAAAGUUAAUAAACAAUUUCUUAACUUCC